UUUAUGGAGAGUUUGAUCCUGGCUCAGGAUGAACGCUGGCGGCGUGCCUAAUACAUGCAAGUCGAGCGAACAGACGAGAAGCUUGCUUCUCUGAUGUUAGCGGCGGACGGGUGAGUAACACGUGGAUAACCUACCUAUAAGACUGGGAUAACUUCGGGAAACCGGAGCUAAUACCGGAUAAUAUUUUGAACCGCAUGGUUCAAAAGUGAAAGACGGUCUUGCUGUCACUUAUAGAUGGAUCCGCGCUGCAUUAGCUAGUUGGUAAGGUAACGGCUUACCAAGGCAACGAUGCAUAGCCGACCUGAGAGGGUGAUCGGCCACACUGGAACUGAGACACGGUCCAGACUCCUACGGGAGGCAGCAGUAGGGAAUCUUCCGCAAUGGGCGAAAGCCUGACGGAGCAACGCCGCGUGAGUGAUGAAGGUCUUCGGAUCGUAAAACUCUGUUAUUAGGGAAGAACAUAUGUGUAAGUAACUGUGCACAUCUUGACGGUACCUAAUCAGAAAGCCACGGCUAACUACGUGCCAGCAGCCGCGGUAAUACGUAGGUGGCAAGCGUUAUCCGGAAUUAUUGGGCGUAAAGCGCGCGUAGGCGGUUUUUUAAGUCUGAUGUGAAAGCCCACGGCUCAACCGUGGAGGGUCAUUGGAAACUGGAAAACUUGAGUGCAGAAGAGGAAAGUGGAAUUCCAUGUGUAGCGGUGAAAUGCGCAGAGAUAUGGAGGAACACCAGUGGCGAAGGCGACUUUCUGGUCUGUAACUGACGCUGAUGUGCGAAAGCGUGGGGAUCAAACAGGAUUAGAUACCCUGGUAGUCCACGCCGUAAACGAUGAGUGCUAAGUGUUAGGGGGUUUCCGCCCCUUAGUGCUGCAGCUAACGCAUUAAGCACUCCGCCUGGGGAGUACGACCGCAAGGUUGAAACUCAAAGGAAUUGACGGGGACCCGCACAAGCGGUGGAGCAUGUGGUUUAAUUCGAAGCAACGCGAAGAACCUUACCAAAUCUUGACAUCCUUUGACAACUCUAGAGAUAGAGCUUUCCCCUUCGGGGGACAAAGUGACAGGUGGUGCAUGGUUGUCGUCAGCUCGUGUCGUGAGAUGUUGGGUUAAGUCCCGCAACGAGCGCAACCCUUAAGCUUAGUUGCCAUCAUUAAGUUGGGCACUCUAAGUUGACUGCCGGUGACAAACCGGAGGAAGGUGGGGAUGACGUCAAAUCAUCAUGCCCCUUAUGAUUUGGGCUACACACGUGCUACAAUGGACAAUACAAAGGGCAGCGAAACCGCGAGGUCAAGCAAAUCCCAUAAAGUUGUUCUCAGUUCGGAUUGUAGUCUGCAACUCGACUACAUGAAGCUGGAAUCGCUAGUAAUCGUAGAUCAGCAUGCUACGGUGAAUACGUUCCCGGGUCUUGUACACACCGCCCGUCACACCACGAGAGUUUGUAACACCCGAAGCCGGUGGAGUAACCUUUUAGGAGCUAGCCGUCGAAGGUGGGACAAAUGAUUGGGGUGAAGUCGUAACAAGGUAGCCGUAUCGGAAGGUGCGGCUGGAUCACCUCCUUUCU
rnacentral:rRNA from 1 species